rnacentral:lncRNA from 1 species
GGAAGUUCUCCAGCUUUGGCGUCUGACUGGAGCGACGGGGGAAGCGGUCCGGCAGAGCCCUGGGUCGCGGGAAGAAUGGCCCGUGCCUGCAGGUUCCGCCGGAUGCAAGAUGGCGAAGCCGAAGCAGAACAACAGUCAUGACCUUCUCGCCUGCAGCUCGGCUGGGGGCAUGGGGCGCCCUGCUGCUACUCACUUUGGUGACAUGGGUGGUGGUGGAGGUUGAGAGGGUUUCCGCAGUGGCGCCGUAGGUGCUGGUGAGGACAUCUUUCCCGAUGAUCUGCAGAAUAUAACCACCCCCCACCCAGGGUGUCAGCUGGAAUGCAGUGGUGGAAUCAUAGCUCAUAGUUCACUGC